rnacentral:lncRNA from 1 species
GUUAGUGGUUACCAUUUCCAAUUGCUAUGGUAGCGAAUGCUGCCCGAGAAAAAUUUGGAGAUGUCAAUACAUAUUCAAAGGUGCAAUAGUUUUUCCCAUUCGUACUUCUCUACAUGAGUUAGUGAAAUAACAUAAAUACAUAUUCAAAGGAGCUGUACGUUCAUCUAAUCUAAUAAUACUAAUAGAGAGAGAUCAUUAAUCUUACCUCCCUCAUUUCCAUUAUGUUUGCCACCUGAUUUGGUGCAGAAUAAACAUGUUUUACCAGGUUGGCCACAACCUUUAAAAGUAAGUAAUUAAGAAUCAGCAAGCAGCACAUACAUCAUUUUUACUGCAUCUACAUAGAAAUAUUUACCUCUUCCAUUGGCCCUAAAUCAUGGAUAUCUGAUUUAUCAGUUGGUAUAAAACUUAGUCGGACAUUUUGCAGUUGUAGAUAUCUGUCCUUAAAUGCAGAAUCGUGACCUCUGAAAUCAAAUUCCUGUCCGUGUUUCCAAUUCCAAGUCAAUGAAAAUAAUUUCAAAAGUGACAUACAUAGAUACAUACAUACAUACAUACCCUCCAAUCUGAUGGAUAGUAAUAUGAAUACCCAUCUUGUUUGUCAACAAAGAUUUCAUAGUUUUCAGGUUUUCCUGCAGACACCAUGUGAUAGUAAUCGUCCAAAAGAUUGCUCAAUCUAAUUAUAACAGAGUGAGUACGUACCUUGAGCCAGAAGGGGACUCGUGGGUAAUAAAAGAGCUCCUACUCCCAAUAGAAAUGCCCUCCUCAUCCCACUUCCUGAAACAGAGUAAAUUCAGAAACACUAAACGGUUGAUAUAUAAGCUUUUACCUCAAACAUAAUUGACUUACUCUAAACAAGAGGGAUUGCUCCUAUGGUAAGCAACCCCCACUUCCAACCGAGAGGUUGUGAGUUCGAGUCUCCCCAAGAGCAAGGUGGUAAGUUCUUGGAGGGAAGGAUGCCGGAGGUCUAUUUGGAAACAGCCUCUCUACCCAAGGUUAUGGGUAAGGUCUGCGUACACACUACCCUGUUCAGACCCCACUAAGUGAGAUUAUAGUGGGUUGCUGUUGUUAGUUGUAUUUAUAAUUGACUUACUCUCUUGAUGACAAAAUGUGUUUUCUGAUGCCGAGCAUGCCAUAAUGUUCGCAUGCCUAUUCAGAGUGUUGCCUUCUGCACUGAUCCUAUUAGUUAUCGCUGCCGAGGGAAGACUCAGUGAGAGUGAAGUACCAGCCAUUUUUGCAGAUCUUUUUUUUUCCCCUUCUCAUAUAGAUAUGUAGUCUUCUCUUUGAUUGGUUCUCAAUUAACGCAGUGCAUCAUGUUUAGAAUUAUUUCCUUUUGCUUUUUAUUUUUUCCUUUACAGGAUAAGAUGCAAAUAAAUCUAGAGGAUGACGUUUCCCGCCAAGCUACAAUGGGGCUCCGGAAAGUGCAUAGAUAGCCCAUUUCGGCAACCCAAUCUAAGUCAUGGCUGAUGUUUAUUAAAUUUUGCAAGUUUAGCCAUUCUGGAAACAAGUCAAACAUUUGGUACUCAAAUUGCAAAAAUUUGCUUCUAAAAUUAUAACUUUCAUCUGAUGUUGGAAGGUCGCAUACAUUAA